GGUCGGCUGUAUAAUGUUUGAUCAAAUCAAUGAAAACGGAAGUGAAAACGUAAAAAUAACCAUUUUGUCAGCUAAGGUUUUUAGUAGAGAAUCCAAAUAUAAUGGUUGCUGCUGAUAUUGUGCUCAGUGGAACGAUUGCUCUGAGAGCCCUGGUUGUCAUCGCGACACACAAAGAACCUCCUCCAGAUCCUCAGGUACGCUCCCUGGAUCCUGCGGAUCUUGAAGGCAUAGACAACUGGGUUGACUGCUGAAUUGGCAUGGGAAAGGAGGAUGCCCACAUAGAAAGCGGUGUGGGGUAUGUCUGACGGGCUGCCAAAAUAGGCAGCACAGUUCAUAAUGUGCAGGGGGAGCCAGCAGAAGGCGAACAGCACCAGGACCAGAGCCAGGGAUUGGGCCAGGCUCCUCUCCUUCCUGAAGUAGGUGUGGGACUGGGCCCCGUGCCCUGCUUUCUCCCUCAGGUUCCUCCAGAUGGUACAGAAGAUGUAGAUGUACAGGACAGCCAUGACAAUUAACGGGGUGAGGAUGCAGAGGAAGAAAUUGAAGUAAACAAUGUAUGACAUGGGGAUCACAGCCAGGAAAUGGCAGAGGAUUGCGGUCGAGUUCUCUGAGUGAGACAACGUUUCAUGAUUGUACCAUCCAAACAUGGGAGGGAAGCUCAAUAUAAAAGCAACAAACCAACAUGUUGCUACUACCACCCAAGAUCUUCUCUCUGUUACCGUCUUCUUGUAGCUGUUGAAGCAGAAAAAUGUUGAGAUGUUUUAAUGAAUUGCAUUGCAAAAUAAAACAAGGAAUCUGAUUCCACCCAA